rnacentral:rRNA from 1 species
AGUGAACGCUGGCGGUAGGCCUAACACAUGCAAGUCGAACGGCAGCACAGUAAGAGCUUGCUCUUACGGGUGGCGAGUGGCGGACGGGUGAGGAAUACAUCGGAAUCUACUUUUUCGUGGGGGAUAACGUAGGGAAACUUACGCUAAUACCGCAUACGACCUACGGGUGAAAGCAGGGGAUCUUCGGACCUUGCGCGAUUGAAUGAGCCGAUGUCGGAUUAGCUAGUUGGCGGGGUAAAGGCCCACCAAGGCGACGAUCCGUAGCUGGUCUGAGGGGAUGAUCAGCCACACUGGAACUGAGACACGGUCCAGACUCCUACGGGAGGCAGCAGUGGGGAAUAUUGGACAAAGGGCGCAAGCCUGAUCCAGCCAUACCGCGUGGGUGAAGAAGGCCUUCGGGUUGUAAAGCCCUUUUGUUGGGAAAGAAAAGCAGCGGGUUAAUACCCCGCUGUUCUGACGGUACCCAAAGAAUAAGCACCGGCUAACUUCGUG